GACGUAGGAUGCAAGCGUUGUCCGGAUUUACUGGGCGUAAAGAGCGCGCAGGCGGUCGUUCAAGUCGAGUGUGAAAGCCCCCGGCUCAACUGGGGAGGGUCACUCGAUACUGAUCGACUCGAAGGCAGGAGAGGGUAGUGGAAUUCCCGGUGUAGUGGUGAAAUGCGUAGAUAUCGGGAGGAACACCAGUGGCGAAGGCGACUACCUGGCCUGUUCUUGACGCUGAGGCGCGAAAGCUAGGGGAGCAAACGGG
rnacentral:rRNA from 1 species